rnacentral:misc_RNA from 1 species
AACUUUCGACAACGGAUCUCUUGGUUCUGGCAUCGAUGAAGAACGCAGCGAAAUACGAUAAGUAAUGUGAAUUGCAGAAUUCAGCGAAUCAUCGAAUCUUUGAACGCACAUUGCGCCCCUUGGUAUUCCGGGGGGCAUGCCUGUUCGAGCGUCAUUUCAACCCUCAAGCUCAGCUUGGUAUUGGGCCUCGUCGGUGACACGACGGGCCUUAAAAUCAGUGGCGGCGCCGUUGGGUCCUGAACGUAGUAAUAUAUUUCGUUACGGGUGCCCCGCGCGCUUCUGCCAUCAAACCCCCAAUUUUCUAUGGUUGACCUCGGAUCAGGUAGGGAUACCCGCUGAACUUAAGCAUAUCAAUAAGCGGAGGCU